rnacentral:rRNA from 1 species
UACGUAGGUGGCAAGCGUUGUCCGGAAUUAUUGGGCGUAAAGCGCGCGCAGGCGGUCCUUUAAGUCUGAUGUGAAAGCCCACGGCUCAACCGUGGAGGGUCAUUGGAAACUGGGGGACUUGAGUGCAGGAGAGAAGAGUGGAAUUCCACGUGUAGCGGUGAAAUGCGUAGAGAUGUGGAGGAACACCAGUGGCGAAGGCGACUCUUUGGCCUGUAACUGACGCUGAGGACGAAAGCGUGGGGAGCGAAACAGGAUUAGAACCUCCGAGUCAGUCCAAGACC